GGCGUGCCCCGGGCCCGGCAGGCCGGCCCCUCGCGUGCCGUUGGUCCGGACAGGCCGGAGGGCGCGGAGCCGGCUUGGGGCCCGAUGGAGGCGGCCCUGCCGCUGCCCCCGGUCUAUGUCUGUAGCCCGGAGUACCUGGCGCUGUGCGACUCGCUCUGUAAAGUGCCUAAACGGGCCAGUAUGGUGCAUUCUUUGAUCAAAGCAUAUUCCUUACUUGACCACAUGAGGAUAGUCAAGCCCAAAGUAGCUUCCAUGGAGGAGAUGGCAAGCUUUCACACUGAUGCCUAUCUGCAGCACCUCCAGAAGGUCAGCGAGGAGGGGGACGAUGACCACCCGGAAUCCGUGGAGUAUGGACUUGGUUAUGACUGUCCAACCACUGAAGGUAUCUUUGACUAUGCAGCAGCUGUAGGAGGGGCCAGCAUCACAGCAGCCCAGUGUCUGAUGGACGGCAAGUGCAAGGUAGCGAUUAACUGGCCUGGAGGGUGGCAUCAUGCAAAGAAAGAUGAAGCUUCUGGCUUUUGCUACCUAAACGACGCCGUCCUGGGCAUCCUGCGGCUGCGUCAGAAAUUCGACCGCAUCCUCUAUAUUGACUUGGACUUGCAUCAUGGGGAUGGUGUGGAAGAUGCCUUUAGUUUCACCUCCAAAGUCAUGACUGUGUCUCUGCAUAAGUUUUCACCAGGAUUUUUCCCAGGAACAGGAGAUGUGUCUGACAUUGGCCUGGGGAAGGGUCGAUAUUACAGUGUCAACGUACCUAUCCAGGAUGGCAUUCAGGAUGAGAAAUAUUACCAGAUCUGCGAAACUGUGUUGAAGGAGGUGUACAUGGCAUUCAACCCGGAAGCAGUAGUUCUGCAGCUGGGAGCGGAUACGAUAGCCGGGGACCCCAUGUGUUCAUUUAACAUGACUCCAGUGGGGAUUGGCAAGUGUCUGAAGUACAUUCUCCAAUGGCAGCUGGCUACUCUCAUCCUGGGAGGAGGAGGCUAUAACCUUGCCAACACAGCCCGCUGCUGGACAUACUUGACUGGGGUCAUCCUGGGGAGAACGCUAUCCUCCGAGAUCCCAGAUCACGAGAUCCAGACGGAGCAUAUUUCUUCAAACCAUUUUACCAAUCCACACCGUGUGCACCCACCCUCUCAGUACAGCUUCUUGGGGCAGUGAGCCAGUCAAUGGGAAUCUUUUAAAAUGUCUUUCAUUAGCCUACUUCAGGUCCUGAACAAAAACAUGAACUGAAAAUGGUAAUGUUGCAGACUUGAUUAACAAGAGAAGCGUGUUCAGUGACUGAAUUGUUUGCAUUACUGAUUGCAAGUAUACAGGCAGAGAAGCGUAUGGAGAAGGAAAGCGCAUGCAUCAGUGUGCUAGGCUAUUUGCUAAACCUACAGAAUGGCUGGAUCCCUGCUUUAAGGAAUUUACAAUGUAAAUUACAGAGGGCCUGGUAUAGGUAUGAAAUAUACCAGAGGAAGGUGCAAUCUCAAAUGAGUUUUAAUGAGCUCUCAGCCAAGCAUCUUGUGGCCUGUGUGCUACAUCAUGUCCUUUCAGGGCUUAUUUAGCAAGACAAAUCUUGAAAAGUAGAUCUUGCUGCACGGGACAGUGUGUUCAUUCUGCACCUGCAGUGAUUGAAUUGUUUGCAUUACUGAUUGCAAGUAUCCAGGCAGCAGCAAGCCUGCAACGCAUUCAGUACCAGGGCCACAAAGCAGCUUUAGUGGGAUGUAUUGAGCUCUGCAUGUGGGGGGAGAUGGGAGGGCGGGGGAUGUUGGCAUCUUAAUGAAAGGGACCGAUAGCCAGUGACCAUCACAGGGGGAGGUAAUAAUAUAGGGCACUUCUACUGCAGGAGGAGGUCCUGUGGCAGACAAAAUCGCUGUAGCCAGUUUGUAUUGGUCUUCAUUCUUUUAUUCAAUCUUUUGUGCUCUUUUCAUAACCAGAGAUCAAAGAAAUACUGCUGUGGUCCUGCUAAGAUACCACAAACAGAACCUAGUCAUUUUACUGAGGCGUCUCCUCCCCUUCUCCCAGAGCCCUGAGGAGCAGCAGCUCAGCACUGUCUGGGGAACAAAAGAGACUUUGUACCUGCUGAAUAAACUCCACUCCACUCCCCACUCUACCAGCUGCCACUGAUGCUCCCAGAAGUGAGCAAACAGGAGGCUUGCCUUUCCAAGAUCAUGCAAGAGGUUUGGGGCCGGGAAGAGAGAGAUUUGCAUUUAGGAUGACAAAAAAAAAAAAAGCCAUCACAAAGCCUGAUUGUAAGCAUAGUGUAGCGUUUUUGUUCUUUCUCCUGUGUGUGUUGGGGCUUGUUCUAGUGUCUCCUUGCUGCUUGGCGCCUUCUACCUAUGAGGCUGGCUAGCCCCUGGGAUUGAAUUUUAAAAAAUGAAACUAUUCAAUGAGGGAGAGGCAAACGGGGAGCCCUCUUCUGAAGUCAACUUUUCUGCCCCACCAUUGGGCGAACUUUCAUUCUAACCCUGCGCAACAUGUCUGCGACUUUCCUUCUACUGAGCUACAAAUGGAGUUUCCUUUAUAUCUCAGCUCAUUGCAAGGGGGGUUGAUCUCUUACUUCCUGUCCUAUACCUGUGCAACCUUAAUUCAGCCCCCUUGUGCAUACACAUUAUGAUGCAGUCUUUAGUUGUUAUUAUUUAGUAUUUUCCACUGAAUGCGUCUGAUGAAGUGAGCUGUAGCUCAUGAAAGCUUAUGCUCAAAUAAAUUUGUUAGUCUCUAAGGUGCCACAAGUACUCCUUUUCUUUUUUCUUUAGUUACAUGAUUACAUUCUGUUUUUCCACAGAGCCGUUACCUUAAGGGCUUUUUCUGUGAGCCAUAGAGAGAAUAAAUUGUGGGUGUCUGAUGUGAGAUUCCUAGGACUUAAUUUUACAGACUACUUAGCAUUACAUAGCACUUUAUAUUUUCAAAGCACAGUUUCUAUUGAUUUCAGCUGCAAGUGCUCAGCACUUCUGUAAAUCAGAUCCCUUUCUCUUCUCACAGUCCUCUCCCUCAUUCAUGACGCACCUUCCAACUUCUGCAACAAGUGAGGCAGGGGUCCUACAGACAGCAGCCUUCUUCAGGUCACAGCCUCAGUGUCUCCCCAGAGCACUAUCCAUCCUGGGUGCUGAAUGAGGCGGGGCGCCUGUGGAAAAAUAGUAUCCAUAAAACAAAUCCAGAAAAGUGAGGUCUAAAUUGAUGUGAGUGUUUGCACCACUUUAAUUGAAUCACUUUAAACCAGUGUGACUUCUGCAUGUCCACCAUCCCUAAGAACUGCGCUGCUCGAUAGACCUCUUCCAUACAGCCAACAUUUGAAGAGGGUAGUAGUUAGCCCUAUGACUAAUUGGAAUAUAGUGGCAUUGGGCCCACCCUGCUAAACCUAGGAGUCCAUAUGUAGCAUUUAGGUAACUCUCUGCAUGGAAAAAUGUUUUUAUUAGGAGUGACAGAGCAAGACUGAAGGUUGCCAGCAGGUAAAAUUGAGCUGAUAACAAUCACUAAUGGCUUCUCUAAAAACCAGGUUCACUGAAAUUAGAGAUUUGGGGAAAUGGAGGGAAGCAUACUGGGGUAGGUCUUAUCUAGCCCUCCCUGCCAAAGUGAACUCUGGCCACUGCACGAAUGAUCCGUUCAAUUGACUCUCUAGGGCUUUAUUCAGUUUUAGAUGAUGGAAGCAAUGAGGUUUCCACCACUUCCCUUAGGAAAAUAUUCCUCCUUUGAAAAGAUUUCCGUAACUGGAAAUGCUCAGAUACGCUGCUUGAUUCCCUUUGUUUAAUUUCAUCCUACUAUCCCAUUCCUCCUUGGACCAAACUGUCCUUUGUGUUUAUACCCUUCACAUCUCCACCAUCUCUUUGUUGUUCAGUGCGCACUCCGUUCUAACCUUUCCUCCAUCAGUAAAUCUUUCUUUCUGUCUUUCUUUCUUUCUUUGUUAACAUUGUGAUUUAAUAGUUAUACUUUUUUGUGGACAAAUAAAAUGUGACGUGUGCAUUUGUUCCUGAUGAACCUGGGAAUGACUUCUCCCGCCCGUCAACUUGCAGUUUUAAUCUACAGGACACUGGGCAAUGGGUACACUUGAAUUUCCAUUAGGAGGAAGGUCAUCAGUGUUCUGAACUCCUGCUACUGCACAGAAAAGCUGGUGAUGUCAGAAUAGUGGGAGUGAUAUUUUUCCUAGCUAACCAGAGAGCUGUCCUUGGCCAUUUCUGACCACUCGUCCCUGCCUGGCUGAGUCUGUCUGGCAAAAAGAUUUUGUACUAGGGCUGCAGCAGCAAUAAAAUGCCCACUUUAUUGACACAGCUUUUAACAUAUACAGGUUAAUGGUAACAUAAGAUCUGGCUUCCAGAGCAACACCACUUCUAAACCUCAGGAGCUUUGCUACUGAACCCUAAGAGAUGGGCAGUUGUUUCCAAGGAUGGAAAUCUCUGUAAAUAUAGCUACAGAAUCCCCCGCAAGGUUCUUAGCAACUUUUGACAACUAAUUAAAGACUGUUAUCUUUAGAAGCUGCAAGGCCAUUCCAGGCAGGAUAGCAAGAGAGCAGAGAUAAUCUGCCUGUCCUGUGCAAUCUACAUUUGGGCUAACAGGCUUCCUUCACCUGCUGUACGUCCGUUCAUCACAAGAGAUCAAAAGAAGCAACUCAGCCCCAGCAGCCUGUGGGUGUGUCUUCACUGCAUCGUGAACUCAAGCCCUUACUCUGGUGUUGACACUAUCCCAGCUCCUGUCCAAACCCGCAAACCUCUGACCUGAGGGGUGCUGGUGCUUUAUACCAAGACUAGCUAGCUGAGCUGAGGAUAUGGGCUAGAGCCUGGGUGCACUUUUCACUCAGGCUGGUAACCUGCCCACUUUGCAGUGAGGCUGCAAGCUAAGUUGCAUGGAUGCUGCUAGUCCUCCAGUGCUGCCUCACAAUUCCCUCUGUGCCCAGAAGGACAGACAUGUUCUUCCACAAUUUGCUGGGAGAUAGUCAUAGAGCAGCUCAGCUCACUGCAGCAAAAAGACCCAUGGGAUAUGCUCCCAGCAGUCCUAGUGCCACGCAGAGGAGUGCAACGCCAACAUGGGCUCAGUGGAAUGGGCACACUCAGGCAGGGCUUUGCAAUGUCUCUGCUCUCACCCAGCUAGGCUAGUCCAAGUGCUCAGAGCUGAGUGCCCCGUCACCAGCAUUAACACUGCAGCGAAGCUAUAUCCUAGGGCAAAGCAAUUCAAGUGUUGUUUGGGGUUUCUCCCCCCAGUCUGCUCUGUAGGUGCCCCUGAAUGGAGAGGAGAGAGAGAGAGCUGGAGCCAGAGGACUCCUUACUGAUGUAAACUAGGGACUUGUUUACACAG